rnacentral:rRNA from 1 species
AACGAACGCUGGCGGCAUGCCUAACACAUGCAAGUCGAACGAGACCUUCGGGUCUAGUGGCGCACGGGUGCGUAACGCGUGGGAACCUGCCCUUAGGUUCGGAAUAACUCCCCGAAAGGGGUGCUAAUACCGGAUAAUGUCUUCGGACCAAAGAUUUAUCGCCUUUGGAUGGGCCCGCGUUGGAUUAGCUAGUUGGUAGGGUAAAAGCCUACCAAGGCGACGAUCCAUAGCUGGUCUGAGAGGAAGAUCAGCCACACUGGGACUGAGACACGGCCCAGACCGGGAGGGGGGGGAGGGGUGGGGAUUAGGGGACGAGGGGCGACGAGUUACGCCAGCAGUGGGGGGGGAGUGAUGAAGGCCGUGGGGGGGUAAAGUUUUCACGCCAGGAAUGAUGAGAACAGUAGGGGAAGAAACCGCUCGGGUCAGCGCCGUGCCAGCAGCCGCAAAAUAAUAGAAGAGCACACGGCUGAAC